rnacentral:rRNA from 1 species
AACGAACGCUGGCGGCAUGCCUAACACAUGCAAGUCGAACGAGACCUUCGGGUCUAGUGGCGCACGGGUGCGUAACGCGUGGGAACCUGCCUUUAGGUUCGGAAUAACUCAGAGAAAUUUGAGCUAAUACCGGAUAAUGUCUUCGGACCAAAGAUUUAUCGCCUUUAGAUGGGCCCGCGUUGGAUUAGCUAGUUGGUGGGUAAAGGCCUACCAAGGCGACGAUCCAUAGCUGGUCUGAGAGGAUGAUCAGCCACACUGGGACUGAGACACGGCCCAGACUCCUACGGGAGGCAGCAGUGGGGAAUAUUGGACAAUGGGCGAAAGCCUGAUCCAGCAAUGCCGCGUGAGUGAUGAAGGCCUUAGGGUUGU